AGGCGCCAUCUGUGGUCUGGGGAGAGGACCACACAUGACAACAUUCCUGCCUGGCCCCCCUAACAACCCCCGCUAGUGAUCAACUCUGGCAGUACGUCAUCUCGGUGCUAAACUACAGCUGAACAACACGACCACAAGUCAUCAGUUGAAGUACUGUACUACCUUACGUAAUGGCGCCCGACAAGGAUAGAGAGACAACUCUAAAGGACCGAGAAAAUGUUCGAGUUGUAGUACGAGUUCGUCCUCUGAGUGAUCAAGAAACUAAAGCAGGUUAUAAAAGCAUGGUGGAGUGUGAUGAUCUAAACUGCUCCCUUCUGGUGACCAACCCUGAUGCCCAGGCUGGUGAACCACCCAAAGUAUUCACCUUUGACUCUGUGUUUGGCCAAGACUCUAAACAGGUUGAUGUAUAUAAUCUAGCAGCGCGUCCCAUAGUAGAGAAUGUGCUAGAAGGAUACAAUGGGACGAUAUUUGCUUAUGGACAGACGGGCACUGGCAAGACGUACACCAUGGAAGGAGUCAGAUCAGUGUCAGAGCUCAAGGGAAUCAUUCCAAACUCUUUUGCCCAUAUAUUUGGCCACAUAGCAAAAGCUGAGGAGGACAAAAAAUUCCUGGUAAGAGUGUCAUACUUGGAAAUAUAUAAUGAAGAAGUUCGUGACCUUCUCCGACAUGAUCAGUCGGUGCGGUUGGAGGUGAAAGAGCGACCUGACGUGGGUGUAUACGUGAAAGACCUUCUUACCCAUGUUGUACACAAUGCUGAUGAGAUGGACAGGAUUAUGACUUUUGGGAACAAGAAUCGAGCUGUCGGGGCAACAAACAUGAAUACUCACAGUUCGCGGUCACAUGCCAUUUUCACCAUCACAAUAGAAUGUGCUGAGAGGGGACUAGAUGGUCAACAACACUGGCGAGUGGGGAAGCUCCAUUUGGUAGAUCUGGCGGGCUCAGAGCGGCAGAGUAAAACAGGAGCAACUGGUCAGAGGUUGAAAGAAGCCAGCAAGAUAAACCUGUCCCUCUCAACCCUUGGAAAUGUUAUAUCAGCACUUGUGGAUGGAAGGUCAACUCACAUUCCUUAUCGUAACUCCAAACUGACCAGACUUCUCCAGGAUUCAUUAGGUGGCAACUCAAAAACAGUAAUGUGUGCUAAUGUUGGACCAGCAAAUUAUAAUUAUGACGAGACAAUCAGCACUCUCCGCUAUGCCAAUCGUGCCAAAAACAUCUGCAAUAAAGCCAAGAUUAAUGAAGACCCUAAAGAUGCUCUUCUUCGUAAACUUCAAGAUGAGAUCAAGUCUUUGAGAAACCAGCUGGAUGAUGAGGAAGAAACAGAUGACUCUGAGGAAGAGGAUUUGGAAGGUGAUGAGAAACCAAAGAAGAAAAAGAAGAAGUUGAAAGAAGAGGAGGUCACAGCCAUCCGAAAGAAAAUUGAAGAAGAACGCAAACUGUUGGAAGAGCGAAAAGAUCUCGAAGAAGAAGAACGAAACAAAGUCAAGACCGAUUUGGACAGACAUGAGAAAGAAGUUAAAAAGGCACUGAAGGAACAAGAGGCUCUAAAACAGAGAUUACAAGGUUUAGAGCGAAAGAUUCUAGUAGGAGGGGAAAAUCUGCUAGAGAAGGCAGAGGAACAAGAACGACUCCUGGAAGAAUCUGCCAAAGAGCUGGAAGAGAGGCGCAGACACGAGGAACAACUCCGUCAUGCCAUUACCCAAAAAGAGGCUGAGAGGAUUGAUUUAGAGGAGCGCUACACAAGUCUUCAGGAAGAAGCAGCAGGCAAGACUCGCAAGUUAAAGAAAGUCUGGACUCUUCUAAUGGCAGCCAAGUCAGAACUUGGAGACAUGCAAGCAGAACAUCAGAGAGAGAUGGAAUCCUUACUCGAGUCCGUGCGGCAUCUGUCUCGUGAACACAAAUUACACCAACUGAUCAUUGAUUCAUUUAUUCCUUCUGAGUAUCAGGAAAUGAUUGAGCGUUAUGUUCACUGGAAUGAAGACAUCGGAGAGUGGCAGCUAAAGUGUGUCGCUUACACUGGCAAUAAUAUGAGGAAGCAGUUAGACAAUGGUGAUGCUGAGAAAGAAAACCAGAACCAAGAUGGUGAUAUGUGGCAGGUCUACCAAUCCUACAGUCCUGAUGUUUACUCUCGACCGCCUGCCAAACCCCGCAGGAAGAAGUCAGGUAUCCCACGACCAAAACAUUGUAAAUCUGCCAGAAAGUAUGAUAAAUAGUCCAACAUAUUAUUUGUGCUUAAUACUGGCAAUCAAUACCCAGUACAGUACAGUACAGUAUAUAGAUUAAAUGGCAUAUAAGAUAAGGUAGGUCACCACCAUUGAUGCAAGUAGAGUUUAGCUUAUUAUUUAAUGUAAUUACGUAUAGCAAAGGUAAUUUGAUAUUGCAGUCUCCUUGUGUCAUAUUUUAAAGUUGAUAUGUAUUAUAAUUUGUCUUAUAUAUAUGAUGUGACUUUUAUCCCCACUAUGUGGGUUUACUGUUGACAAAUGUCUGCGUGUACAGUAUCAGUUUCAGUGGAACUUACAAGAUAAAGGUAAUUGUACAUUUCUUGCAAUAAUUUAUAAUUUAUUGUCUCUUGUUGCAUAGUCAACCUAUUUUUUAUAUCUUUAUACUUCAGUUUGAAGAAGAUUCCUCAUCAUAGUUAAGAUUAAAUGACUGUAGGAUGUCACAAAGAGAGGAUUCUAAUAGUGAACAAUUGGGUUUAGUUCACGCUCUCUUUCAUUUAUUUAUUUACUGUAUUUAUUUAUUAUUUUAUUUUUAAUUUCUAUACAGUGCAGUAUACUGUAUUAAUGUUUCUCACAUAUUUGAAGUCUCUGAAAUGUGUCCCACUCGGGUGCUUUAGCAUCUUCAUAAGCAAGAAUGGGUUGGCAAGACUGAGUUGUUCUCAUCAGAUGGUGACGAGCUCGGCAGAUAUCCUCGCGAAAUCCACCCUAGUACCAUUUUCUAAUGUUAACUGCUGAUGCUGGUAGGUGGCAAUGUCUCAGAACUUUUUGGGGGCAAUAUCAAAUGGUAAGUGAAAUGUUUCUGGGAGAGUUUAAAUUUAUAGAUAUUUAGGUAUAUUAUGUUUAGGAAUGUAGGAGAAUCAAUUUAAAUGCUUAUAAGGUUCAGAUAAUUGCUUAUGCAUGGAUGAAAGUUAAAGGUUAAGAGAUUGCAGUACUAUACAGGUAAAGUUCAUAUUUGGAGAUAAAUAAUCAGAAACAUAAUGUUGUGUUUUGAGGACCUGGAGGAUACUGUAUGGGCAUGUUUGAAUAUGAGAAUGAUAAUUAUUGAUAAAUUAAAGGUGGUAUGAACAUGGAAUAUGGGAGUAACAUGAAAAGUAGUCAUUUUAUAAGUGAUAAUAUAGUUUGAACAUAUUUAAUGAAUGAAUGUGAGAACAAUGACAGGAGGAACAGGUGUGCCUACAGUAAGUUGAAACCAAAGAUGACAAGAAGGAUACAAGAGAUGCGUGAGGGGAAGAUUCAAUGAACCACUGUAUAACUGGAGCAUGUAGAAGAAGCCAUUGUGCAAUAUAUUAGUUUCUUUCUGUAAAUAUUUCAAAUGCUGUAUUUGCAUAUACCCAUUACAGUACACAGUACUAAAUAGUAUGUAAUCAUGAAUGGGUGCAGGCAAUUAUUAUAAUACAACAGACACAGUUCAGUAUAUAGUGCCGUAUUUAUGAGGUACAGUGUUACACUGUGGACAACACAUCUUAGUCACUGAAAAACUUCAAGGCUAGAGUUACUAAAUUCCUAUUUAACAUUUAAAGUUUAUCAUAUGUUAAUUUUAUGAACAAGAAAAGGGAAUAAAAUACUAGUAUUAGUUUGAAUAAAGUAAAGUUUGAAGAGUUCUCAUUCGCUCACAACCCUCAUCCUGGAGGCUAUGUAAGGUACUUUCAACUUAACCUUUGACAAACCUUCAUUGGUAUUAAAUUAUUUUCCCUGGACCCACAUGAAAAUCUCACCAGUUGUUUGAUGAAAAGCAUUAGCAUAAGAACACAAGAAUGGAGGAAGCUGCUGCGAGCCUGUUGGCCCAUACUGUACUAAGCAGUCCUCUUUACACCCAACCCAUUCUCUGCUUUGUUUACUUCAGAUAUGCAUAUAAAUGCACUGGUGCACACAAUACAGUAAGGCAUUUGUGAGCUUAGACACAUGCUUUUUUUUUCACAUAACACACACAUUUAGGCACUCACUUACCUAUGCACUUGCACACACAAAGUCAGUCACCCACCUCCAUGUGUAUAUGCGAACUUACACAAAAACAAAGUAACAACAACCUUUUUCUAGGUCUCAUUCAUGGUAGGGCUGAUUUGUUAUUGGUUAAAGUCACCAUAAGAUUUGUAACAUUUUUAAGUGUAAUAAAAAUGAAAACUAAUACUUAUAAAAAAAUUUCAUAUGAGCAACAUGACUUAACAUAGUGUUGGUAUAUAAGCUUACAUUUGGAUAUUUUAACAGGUAAUAUGGUUAGCCUCAUAUAGGGCCAUAAAAAUAUGUGUUUCAAGAGAAUGCCAGUGGUAACAUGCAUUUUGAAAGGUGCGAUGUAAGUGUGGUGUGAGCAGUUGGAGUAUUUUUAUGUGAGGGAUAUUUGUAUUACACACACACACACACACACACACACACAAUAUAAACUAAACAUGAAAGCAAAAAGGAAACACAGAAGAACAAAGAGCUUUAAGUAGAUUUUCUGGUUUUGAACUGGAAGACUGCAAAUGAAUAAGUUUUACAGAUGCUGUGGUAACCUACACUGUAGUACUGAAUAUCUGUAUACAAAUUUUGAUGGGACGAGUGAAUGAGAGGCAUCUGGUAUUGAUUAUAAUAUUAUUAUACAUAGUAGCUAAUCUGUCCAAAACUACCAGAUAUAUUGUUGGUUGAAUAUCUCAUCAUUAGUCUGGUUUUCUCUCUUUUUUCCUAAUUUAAUAUGAUUAUAUGUAUGACAAUUUGAAUAAAAAGUACUGAAAUUUG